AAGAUACUAGUAAAAAAGACAUUACACUGCUUUGUCAAGGCAAAAUAGUAGGUUAAAAUCCUGCGUAUCUUA
rnacentral:tRNA from 1 species